rnacentral:rRNA from 1 species
AUUGAACGCUGGCGGCAUGCCUUACACAUGCAAGUCGAACGGUAACAGGUCUUCGGAUGCUGACGAGUGGCGAACGGGUGAGCAAUACAUCGGAACGUGCCCAGACGUGGGGGAUAACGAGGCGAAAGCUUUGCUAAUACCGCAUACGAUCUAAGGAUGAAAGCGGGGGAUCUUCGGACCUCGCGCGUUUGGAGCGGCCGAUGGCAGAUUAGGUAGUUGGUGGGAUAAAAGCUUACCAAGCCGAGGAUCUGUAGCUGGUCUGAGAGGACGACCAGCCACACUGGGACUGAGACACGGCCCAGACUCCUACGGGAGGCAGCAGUGGGGAAUUUUGGACAAUGGGCGCAAGCCUGAUCCAGCAAUGCCGCGUGCAGGAUGAAGGCCUUCGGGUUGUAAACUGCUUUUGUACGGAACGAAAAGGUCUUGGUUAAUACCUGGGGCUCAUGACGGUACCGUAAGAAUAAGCACCGGCUAACUACGUGCCAGCCGCCGCCGUAACAC